rnacentral:ribozyme from 1 species
GGAUGGUCCGAAGGCAGAAGCCGGGAAAUCCGUGAGGGAAACAUGCCGUUAGAAUGAAAAACAUUCUAUCGAGCAGCACAUUAACUCAC